GAUGAACGCUGGCGGCGUGCCUAAUACAUGCAAGUCGAGCGAACGGACGAGAAGCUUGCUUUUCUGAUGUUAGCGGCGGACGGGUGAGUAACACGUGGAUAACCUACCUAUAAGACUGGGAUAACUUCGGGAAACCGGAGCUAAUACCGGAUAACAUUUUGAACCGCAUGGUUCAAAAGUGAAAGACGGUCUUGCUGUCACUUAUAGAUGGAUCCGCGCUGCAUUAGCUAGUUGGUAAGGUAACGGCUUACCAAGGCAACGAUGCAUAGCCGACCUGAGAGGGUGAUCGGCCACACUGGAACUGAGACACGGUCCAGACUCCUACGGGAGGCAGCAGUAGGGAAUCUUCCGCAAUGGGCGAAAGCCUGACGGAGCAACGCCGCGUGAGUGAUGAAGGUCUUCGGAUCGUAAAACUCUGUUAUUAGGGAAGAACAUAUGUGUAAGUAACUGUGCACAUCUUGACGGUACCUAAUCAGAAAGCCACGGCUAACUACGUG
rnacentral:rRNA from 1 species